GGGUGCGUAGCUCAGUGGUAGAGCGCCUGCCUUACAAGCAGGAUGUCGGCGGUUCGAAACCGUCCGCGCCCACCA
rnacentral:tRNA from 1 species